rnacentral:rRNA from 1 species
AGCACGUAGGUGGGUUUGUAAGUCAGACGUGAAAGCCUUCUGUUCAACGGAAGAAUUGCAUCUGAAACUACAAACCUUGAGUGUAGGAGGGGAGAAUGGAACUUCUGGUGGAGCGGUGAAAUGCGUAGAUAUCAGAAGGAACGCCGGCGGCGAAAGCGAUUCUCUGGCCUAUUACUGACACUCAGUGUGCGAAAGCUAGGGGAGCAAACGGGAUUAGAUACCCCGGUAGUCCUAGCCGUAAACGAUGGGCACUAAGUAGAGGGG